GAUUCUUCCACAUCAGUGAUGUGAAAAUCGUUGAUGCCUGAAGUUCAAAAGGUCAAGUAAAGUCGGGCAGCUUACUGUGAGAGCUCCCCCACUCUGCUCCCAGGGACUUCAGUCAAUGUAAUUCUCUUCAUUUUUGGACUGAAAAUUUACCCACAGAGGCCUGCUGUAAUUCCACUUCCUAUGCUGUUAAGGACAAGGGGAAUGCACAUCAUUGUAAAUACCAUUGAAACUGGUCGCAGUUCUGGUCACAACCUUCUCUCUCAACACUUUUGGGUGCAUGCUUUUAUUAAUAUAUUUCUAGUGCUUCCUAAAGAUGACCACUCGACGUACGACAUGCAUCCGCUCAAUAUUCCCUUGCAACGGGGCCCGAGUAGGAUCUUUUCUCUCAUUCUCGUCACAUUUGAAGUGGAUUCAUCCAUGAUACUGAACUGAAAUGUGCUACCCUGCCCCAAAUGUCGUCUCAGGGGGCGUUGUGACCUACCUUACAUUAAUUAACAUUACAGCUCCAGCUUUCAAAUGUUGCAAAAUAUCACACAUUUUCUGCUAAGCCUCAGGACCAGAGAUUUAUACACAUCGCUGAUCUUCCAUACAGACACAUGAAAUUUUACUACAACCAUACAGUAAAUACAAUUCCAGUUGUGCUUAACAGUGUAUAGCUAGAGCAUCUCCUUUUAUACUUUCAUAGACAAUGCUUGAGAAGUGGAUACUCCAUACAGACAUUAAAACUUUUUUAUUUAAUGAUGGCACUGAUGAAGCAAUUACACCAUAUUUGUAUAUACAUAUGUACAAACUUCCACUGUAUAUAAAGGUUUUUUUGAAAGCUCUUUACACAUUGAUAAAGUAAAGAAAUGUGGUCAGAUCUGUAGAAGGAAAAAAAAGGUACAUGGACAUAACAUUGUAAGACAGUACAGGUAAAUAAUACAUAAUAAAACAUAUCUUAGUUUGUGUUCUUUAGAAUUGUGUUUCUGUGCUUUAUAAAUUAACUGUAGCAUUUGGCACAUUCCUGAUAAUGGAUGCAGAUUCAGCUAAGAAUUCAUCGUUUAAUUAACAGGGCAGCUAAGGAGGCAUUAGACAACAUGACUUUAGAGUGCAUACUUAAACUAAAUUAUUGCACUUUAAAGAAUAUAUCAGUUAUAUUUGCACAUUUUAUUUCCAUGUUAGCUAUUUACACUUGUACCCACGGUUCAUAGAAGCUGCUAUGCUGUUAGGACGUCCAUAUGUGCAACUGUUAAACAGUCAAAUAUGUCACCUCUGGUGCAGGGGAAUGUUCACUGACUAUGCAGACUCAUACUGGUGAUGUCACACUUUUGUCUUUACUGAGCAUGAGCAGCUGCCCAGUCGUGUACUCACAAAUCUAGUAAAAUACCCUAUGACAAUCCCUAUGAACUGAGGGAGGAGUGUAUUUUGAUGAACUCAUGGAGAGUACACACCAGAAAUACAUAAGUUGCGUCAAGCAAACAUAACAGACAUAUAACGUUUAAUUAUUCCAAGUUUUAGUUAUUAUGUAAUCUCUCAUUAUUAGGCAAUGGCCUCUAGUUAUCAAGGUCUGGUGGACCUGAUCCAACACUGCGGAUCAGGUCCGCCAGACCUUGCUGAAUUUGCCGUAUUCAGCAUUGCACCAGCAGCUCACAACAGCUGCUAGUGCAACGCCGCCCCCUGCAGACUCGCGGCCAAUGGGCCGCCAGCAGGGGGGUGUCAAUCAACCCGAUCGUACUCGAUCGGGUUGUAUUGUGGCGAUGUGUGUCCGCCUGCUCAGAGCAGGCAGACAGGUUAUGGAGCAGCGGUCUUUGUGACCGCUGCUUCAUAACUGCUGUUUCUGGCGAGCCUGCAGACUCGCCAGAAACACGGGGCAUCAAGCUCCAUUCGGAGCUUGAUACAUAUGCCCCAAUGUCUCCUUAAAGGAGCACAAAUUAUAAAUAGUCCCAGCACUGAACACAAUUUUUCUUAGUUCCAAUCUUGUGGUAGGUGCACGUAGCAGGGGUUACGGCAUUCCCCUCUCAUAUAGAGCAUCAAUCCAUAAAUUAAAGCCACAGAACCACAAAUAUCUUCAAAGGAUAUUACCUUUAUUCAAAAGAAAACGUGAAAUUUUGGCCUCCUAAGCCUCAAUCAUGCAAAUUGCAUGAUUAGGGCCUAUGAGGCCUAAAUGUUGCAUGUUUUCUGUUGAAUAAAGAUAAUAUCCUUUGAAGAUAUUUGUGGUGCUAUGGCUUUAUUUUAUUAAAGGGUCACAAAUGUGCAAUAGUGCAUUUUAAAUUAAAGUCGAAAUAUGUUUGCAAUAAAGUUGUGUUUGUUAAAAUGCUUCUUUUAAAAGUAGUGACUGAUUUUGUGAAUACUUUUACAAUGUACACUAUCAGUACCCACUGCUAGUACAAGGCCUGCUGUGAGUAUGCACAUUCUCCCUCUGUUUAAUUUGCUACAUAGCUUCAUCAGGACUUGGCGCAUGUGCAGGAGGAAGAUACAUGUAGCCUACUGCAAUAUCACCAGGAGGUGACAUGCAUGAUAUGAGUUAUCACUUAAAGCAGUCAAAACUUUUAAAUUAAUCCAUUUUUCCAAACACAGUUAGAUUAGUCCCCUUUAUGAUUUUGUUAGUAAUCAGAUCACAUUUAGAACUAACAAGUUGAUAAUCUUUUUCAAAUCUAUUGACUCUGCUCUUUCUAAAACACAAGAUGUUGUGCCUUGGAUACAACCGCUAAAAACAUAUUGAAUAAUGUCAUAGGCUCUGAUAUUAUGAAUUAAAUCAAUUAUUCAUAGCCAUCACCAUUUUUGUUGUCAAUCUGUGACAAUUUAUGGGAGGAAAAAAAAACAGAAGCACAGUUCAAAGAAAUAAAUAAAAGAUUAGGCAUGUAUUGUUAGUAACAAUGUAUAUGGUCUUACAAUAAUGAGUUUCAUGCUCAUUUCUGUACAAAAUAUAAACUACAAUGUAUAAUGAAUUCUUCGCUAUGUCCAGACUGGAAAGCCUUAGUCACCUACUGAAAUAAACAAAUCUGUGUGUAUAUAUCAUAGGAUAGAAGUAAAAGUAUUAAAGCAAUAUCAAUCUA